CAGGGCCUACGGGAGGCAGCAGUGGGGAAUAUUGCACAAUGGGGGAAACCCUGAUGCAGCAACGCCGCGUGAGUGAAGAAGUAUUUCGGUAUGUAAAGCUCUAUCAGCAGGGAAGAGAAUGACGGUACCUGACUAAGAAGCCCCGGCUAACUACGUGCCAGCAGCCGCGGUAAUACGUAUGGUGCAAGCGUUAUCCGGAUUUACUGGGUGUAAAGGGAGCGCAGGCGGCACGGCAAGCCUGAUGUGGAAGCCCGCGGCCCAACCGCGGGACUGCAUUGGGAACUACCGGGCUGGACUGCCGGAGG
rnacentral:rRNA from 1 species